UUUACUCCCACCCAAAAUUAAUCCCAGCCAGCGCCCGUCAAGCCGCAGCCAGCGCCCGCAUUGCCGCCGCAGUCAGAUCAGACAUGGCGCCGCAGCUGACCGGCGCGCCCGGCUCGGCGGCGGCGGCGGGCCGAGCCUCCGCGCUCGUUAAGCCGCAGUUCCACCACUACCACCACCACCGCCUCCCCCGCUCCUCUCCAAGCCUGCCUUCUGGUCCGUCUGCUCCCUCUCGCUGCUCCUCGCCUUCCUCAUCCUCCUCCACCUCUCCACGCCGGCGAUCGCCGCCGCGCGUCCUCCUCGACGACACCCCCUCCCCCCGGACCAGGCGAUGAAGCUGAAGAUCAACAAGGCGUGCGACCUCGCCUCCAUCUCCGUCCUCCCUCCCCGGAGGAACCGGGGGAGCGGCGGUGGCGGGGCCAGCGCUUCCGCGUUGGCCGCGGCGGCAUCGCAGCAGCGGUCCCGGUCGAUGUCGCAGAAGUCCUUCUAGCAGGGAGGGGGCGGGUCGUUCUCGCAGAGCAUCGGCGCGUCCUUCUCUCAGGGCGGAGGCAGCGGAGCCGUGUCCUUCUCUCAGGGUAGAGGCGGCGGUGGCGCGCUCUUCUCGCAAGGCAGCGGAGGAGCGGCGUUCUCUCUGGUCGGUGGGGCCGGAGGCGCGGCGUUCUCUCAGAUCGGUGGAGGUGGAGGCGGCUCGUUCUCUCAGGGCGGAGCUGACGGAGGCGCUGCCUUCUCUCAGGGUGUAGGAGGCGGCGGAGGCGCGGCCUUCUCUCAGGGCGGCGACGGAGGAGGCGCGGCGUUCUCUCAGGGGCGGUGGCAGCUUGCCGCUCUUGCAUUCGCGAUCGCAGAUCUCCCGGGCCUCCCUCGACGAGAACCUCCUCAGCCCUCGCCAUCCCUCCCCCGCGCGCGAUCAGCAGGCAUACAGAAAAAGUUUGUGCUCGUAGAGACCUCUCUCCAGCAAAUUGUAAGCAUCGUCGCUGCUUCAGUUCUUUUCCCUACCUUUUUUAAAACAACAAAGUUUCGUUUAUUGAGACAUGCUACCGCAGCUUAAGGGACAAGACGAUCUCA